AGAUUGAACGCUGGCGGCGUGCUUAACACAUGCAAGUCGAGCGGUAACGCGGGAGCAAUCCUGGCGACGAGCGGCGAACGGGUGAGUAAUGCUUGGGAAUCUGCCCAUUAGUGGGGAACAACCAGCCGAAAGGUUGGCUAAUACCGCAUACGCCCUACGGGGGAAAGCGGGGGAUCGAAAGACCUCGCGCUAAUGGAUGAGCCCAAGUCGGAUUAGCUUGUUGGUAGGGUAACGGCCUACCAAGGCGACAAUCCGUAGCUGGUCUGAGAGGACGACCAGCCACACUGGGACUGAGACACGGCCCAGACUCCUACGGGAGGCAGCAGUGGGGAAUAUUGGACAAUGGGGGCAACCCUGAUCCAGCGACGCCGCGUGUGUGAAGAAGGCCUGCGGGUUGUAAAGCACUUUUAGUGGGGAUGAAAGCUCAGGGUUAACACCUCUGGGUCUUGACCUAACCACAGAAAAGCACCGGCUAACUCUGCGCCAGCAGCCGCGGU
rnacentral:rRNA from 1 species